AAAAGCUAAAGUGAAUAGGGUAAUGAAAGAGGCAUGGAGCAAGAGAGGACUACGUGUUGGUUUGGUAUUUAGUUGCUGUGCCCUUGACCAUGGCAUGAGCUUUCCAUGCAGCCAGAAAUUACAGGAGGACAUAUUGGUCAAGAUCCCCAAGUACUGAGUUUCAGUGAUGAUGCAUCGUUGUAUAGUGUUAAGCAAUGAAAUAGUCAGAUUUGCAAAAGUGAUUCCCCCUCAUGCACUUUCACAGUGGUUCGGUCCACUGCCUGCAUUCGUUAAAUGGGGUUGUCUCCGUGCAUGCAAGCUAUGGUUCUUCAAAAUUCCCUUGUUAUUCAAUUUUUGCCUGUGUAUAAGCUGCCAGUCAUAUCAAAAACAGGUGAUCCAAUGUUUACCACAUGCUGUUUAUGUGGUUAGUCUGCUGGUGGCAGCUUUUGGCCUUGGGUUCAUCCACAUGUUCAUCCACCAGCCUGGCCUCUGACUCCCGUUUCAUGCACAUCCUAAUCACCUCCUCGAGGAACCACUGCUAUGGGAGGAACCCCCAUAGAGAGAUUGUGUUGCAGAAUGAAUUACCAUCUCAGACAUGUGAUCUUCAUUAACUGAUGCUGACACGUCUCGGUCCAUUUGGCUGUUUACAUUGUCAUUUGUUUUUUAAGUGCCUACAACAAGGCUUCUGCAGCAGUAAAUCUUGCUACACUGGGCCUGUUAGCAAUGGUUCACAGCCAAACUUUACAGUGUAGUCUUUAGAAGUGGAAAAUUAAAAUAACUUACAAUUAAAAUACAAAGCCUGUAAUGUGGGUAGCCACUAAAACAAUAAGAUCGCAUAUACAAAAGCAUGAAAUUAGUUUUCUCCAAAGCAUGUCUGGGCUUUCCCUUAAAGAUAGGAUGAGGGGCUCGGUCAUUUGUGAGGGACUCUGAGUAGAGCUGCUACUCUUCUAGUGAGUGAAGGAGUGAGUUGAGGUGUUUUGUCAUCUGACAUCCUGGACACCUCCUAGAUGAGUCCUUUCAGGCACAUCAAACUGGGAGAAGGCCAAGUAGCUGCGGUGAUGGAGGUCUUUGCUUUAACUGUUGUCUCGAUAACCACAUGGAUGGAUGUACAAUUUUUAAAAAAAAAUCUAUGAAAAGCUGUAAGAGAAGUAAAAAAAAACUUCAGUGGUGUGGAAACAUUAUGGGUUCGCGGAGUCAGACGUGGAUCAAGUAGACAUAGUGUGUAAACUUUGCUACAGUGUCGUAGCUGCACCACAGAGCAACACUGCAAAGUUCACUAAACAUAGAUGUUUACAUUUUUCAUUUAUUUUUUUAUAUUGCAAACAUUUG
ensembl:lncRNA